CCUACGGGUGGCAGCAGUGAGGAAUAUUGGUCAAUGGGCGUAAGCCUGAACCAGCCAAGUCGCGUGAGGGAUUACUGCUCUAUGGGUUGUAAACCUCUUUUAUCGGGGAGCAAAAUCCGGACGUUGUCGGCUGUGAGAGUACCCGUAGGAAUAACAUCCGCCAACUCCGUGCCAGCAGCCGCGGUAAUACGGAGGAUGCGAGCGUUAUCCGGAUUUUUUGGGUUUAAAGGGUGCGUAGGCGGUUUGAUAAGUUAGAGGUGAAAUGUCGGGGCUCAACCCUGAAACUGCCUCUGAUACUGGUGGACUAGAGAAUAGUUGCGGUAGGCGGAAUGUAUGGUGUAGCGGUGAAAUGCUUAGAGAUCAUACAGAACCCCGAGUGCGAAGGCAGCUUACCAAGCUAUAUCUGACGUUGAGGCACGAAAGCGUGGGUAGCAAACAGGAUUAGAUACCCGAGUAGUC
rnacentral:rRNA from 1 species